AGUCUUUCUCUCCUUAUCCCCCGAGCAUUUCGGUCCCUCGUGAUUCGACUUCUCUUUCUGUAGCUUAGUAUAGUAAGGUGAGCGCUGAAGCGCUGCACGAAUCUUUCUUAGAAAGAUUCAGCGACGAAGUUCUGCCCCUGCAGAGCCCGACUCCUAGCUAAAACCCCCUUGUUUCGUCGAAGGAAAAUAAAAUCGUUAGAAGCAAGCGCUGCCCGAUUUUGGAAUCAUCACCUUAACAAGUAGUGGCGCAUGAGCAUAGGUGUGAUGUUUUGGACGAGGGAUUACGGAUAUAGGCCUGUAGAUAUGAAAUAAUGUAGUAAGGCUUAUAUUGUACUGUUUAUACUUUUGAUCUGUACGAACAUGACAUCCCGAGUCUUUUAAUGAAAUACAUUUCUAUGGAAAUGCUUUUGAUAAAUCUUUAUCAUAUUUUUGUUUUGGGACAAAUUCCGCAACGCUUUCAUUUAAAAUGUAACUCUGAUUUUUAAACAAAGUAUAAACAAACCGGUCUUUUCUGGCCGUGAUUUUGGGGAUGUCACACAACGUUGGCGUGACAAUCUCAUUGCGGAUUGCAAACUUGUUUUUGACCAUAAAACCUUCAUGUUUUCACCAAAGAAACAAUUAUAUAUUUCACAAUAUAUGACUUUUACCUUUUAUUUUUUAGUUAUUUAUUUUUGUUGCAGGGAUCAUUCAAAGAAUAGGUAGUUACGGAAUUCAUAAUAAGGUCUAGUAUAAUUUUGAUGAUUAUUUUAUGCAUAGAACAAAAUGACCAUAUUCAUUUUGGUCUAUUGCGAUUAUCUUUUUAAAUCCACAAUCUAUUGCACAAGGAUGAAGGAGUGAAGAAGUAUCAAGGUGGGUUCCGGAUAGAACUCAAAUGGGACUUGGGGUGAAAGGGUACUUAUGACUUUUUCAAGGGUGUAAAUUGUCAAUAAAGGAAUCCUAUCAAUCAAACAUCAUAUAUUUCACCAUCACAUGAAAAUGAUUUGAAUCCUUACUUUGUAGGAUAUGACUCUCUCAUCUCAUAAUUUUAUUUAGGAACUAGUUAUACGAAGAUCACUUAAAAUGCAUGU